CCUACGGGAGGCAGCAGUGAGGAAUAUUGGUCAAUGGACGAGAGUCUGAACCAGCCAAGUAGCGUGAAGGAUGACUGCCCUAUGGGUUGUAAACUUCUGUUAUAUGGGAAUAAAACAAGGUAUGCAUACCCUCUUGUAUGUACCAUAUGAAUAAGGCUCGGCUAACUCCGUGCCAGCAGCCGCGGUAAUACGGGGGAGCCGAGCGUUAUCCGGAUUUAUUGGGUUUAAGGGGUGCGGAGGCGGAUUGUUAAGUCAGCGGUAAAAUGUCCGGGCGCAACCCGGGCCGGACGUUUAAACGGGGGAUCUUGAUUGGGCGAGAAGUAUGCGGAAUGCGUGGGGUAGCGGUGACAUGCAUAGAUAUCACGAAGAACUCUGAUUGCGAAGGCAGCAUACCGGAGCACGACUGACGCUGAGGCACGAAAGCGUGGGGAUCGAACAGGAUUAGAUACCCUUGUAGUC
rnacentral:rRNA from 1 species